rnacentral:rRNA from 1 species
AGCGGCGAACGGGUGCGUAACACGUGAGAAACCUGCCCCCCAGACCGGGAUAGCCCAGGGAAACCUGGAUUAAUACCGGAUACUCUCCUCGGACCGCAUGGUCUGUUGAGGAAACAGUCCGCUGCUGGGGGAUGGUCUCGCGGCCUAUCAGGUAGUUGGUGAGGUAACGGCUCACCAAGCCGAAGACGGGUAGCUGGUCUGAGAGGACGAUCAGCCACACUGGAACUGAGACACGGUCCAGACUCCUACGGGAGGCAGCAGCAGGGAAUAUUGCACAAUGGGCGAAAGCCUGAUGCAGCGACACCGCGUGCGGGAUGAAGGCCUUCGGGUUGUAAACCGCUUUCAGGAGGGAAGAAACUGACGGUACCUCCAGAAGAAGCUCCGGCCAACUACGUGCCAGCAGCCGCGGUAAUACGUAGGGAGCAAACGU